UACGUAGGGUGCAAGCGUUGUCCGGAAUUAUUGGGCGUAAAGAGCUCGUAGGCGGUUCGUCGCGUCGGCUGUGAAAACCUGAGGCUCAACCUCAGGCCUGCAGUCGAUACGGGCGGACUUGAGUACUGCAGGGGAGACUGGAAUUCCUGGUGUAGCGGUGAAAUGCGUAGAGAUGCGGAGGAACACCGAUGGCGAAGGCAGCCCCCUGGGCUGUAACUGACGCUGAGGAGCGAAAGCAUGGGGAGCGAACAGG
rnacentral:rRNA from 1 species